AGUCACUGACAUUAGACUACCCGGGUAGUCCCAGCCGUAAACUAUGCGCGUUAGGUGUACUGGUGACCACGAGUCACCGGGGUGCCGAAGGGAAACCGUGAAACGUGCCGCCUGGGAAGUACGGUCGCAAGGCUGAAACGUUAAAGGGAUUGGCGGGGGAGCACCACAACGGGUGGAGCCUGCGGUUUAAUUGGACUCAACGCCGGAAAUCUCACCGGAUAGGACAGACAUAUGAUAGUCGGGCUGAAGACUCUACUUGAUGAUCUG
rnacentral:rRNA from 1 species